rnacentral:rRNA from 1 species
CCUACGGGUGGCAGCAGUGAGGAAUAUUGGUCAAUGGACGCAAGUCUGAACCAGCCAUGCCGCGUGCAGGAAGACGGCUCUAUGAGUUGUAAACUGCUUUUGUACGAGGGUAAACGCAGAUACGCGUAUCUGUCUGAGAGUAUCGUACGAAUAAGGAUCGGCUAACUCCGUGCCAGCAGCCGCGGUAAUACGGAGGAUUCAAGCGUUAUCCGGAUUUAUUGGGUUUAAAGGGUGCGUAGGCGGUCGGAUAAGUUAGAGGUGAAAUCCCGAGGCUCAACUUCGGAACUGCCUUUGAUACUGUGCGGCUAGAGAGUAGUAGCGGUAGGCGGAAUGUAUGGUGUAGCGGUGAAAUGCUUAGAGAUCAUACAGAACACCGAUUGCGAAGGCAGCUUACCAGGCUACUUCUGACGUUGAGGCACGAAAGCGUGGGGAGCAAACAGGAUUAGAUACCCCAGUAGUC